CUGAAUGUUUACGUCCCUCCAAAAUUAAAGUGUUGAAAUCUUUAUUCCCAAGGUGGUGAUAUUAGCAGGUGGGGAUUUGGGGAGGUGAAUUAGGUAGGUCAUGGGGGCAGAGCCCCCAACAAUGGGAUUAGUGGCCGUCUAAGAGAGGACUGAGAGAGAUCCACAUGAGGUGACAAUGAAAAGAUGGCCAUCUAUCUAUGAGCCAGGAAGCCGGCCCUCACCAGAUACCGAAUCUGCCUUGAUACUGGACUUCCCAGCCUUCAGAACUGUGAAAAUAAACUUCUGAUUUGUAUUAUUUAUUUAUUUAUUUUUGAGACAGGGUCUCACUUUGUCACCCAGGCUGGAGUGCAAUGGCGCAAUCACAGCUCAUUGUAACCUCAACUUCCCAGGCUCAGGUGAUCCUCCCACCUCAGCCUCCCGAGUAGCUGGGACUACAGGCAUGUGACACCACGCCCAGCUAAUUUUUUGUAUUUUUAGUAGAGAUGGGGUUUCUCCAUGUUGGCCAGGCUGGUCUCAAACUCCUGGGCUCACGCAAUCUGCCUGUCUUGGCCUCCCAAAGUGGUAGGAUUACAGGUAUGAGCCACCACACCAGGCCAACUUCUGAUUUUUAUAAUAUAAGCUAUUCAGUUUAUGGUAUCUUGUUAUUGCAGCCUGAACAGAACUGAUGACAAAAGGUCUCUGGGCAAAAAUAAAAACAAAAACUGCUUUGCCCCAAUUUUUCCAGCUUUCCUUUAGGCCUCAACAUCUAUGGCAAAAUAAGUUCGGAAAGAUCUGGGGUCGAAUGCUAGACCUCCCUCAUUACUGGGUACUUUUGAGCAAAUCACUUCAACCAGAGUCUCCAUUUAUCCUGCUAUAAAAUGGGGGUGGAUGUACCCACUUUUAGUCCUUAAAAGGUUUACAAAGAAAGUUCUCUCAAAUUCUUAGCACAGGGCCCAGCUCUUGGUGGUGCUUUAUAAAUGUUAGUCCCUCCAUUUAAAAGUACUUUCUGUAUAUUGCUCCUUUACCCAUUCUUUUUAGUUUUUUUGUAAUUGUGGUCAAAUACACAUAAAAUUUACUAGGUGUAAAUUUUACACAUAGAAAACAGAAAUAAAAUUUUUGUUUUUUAAAUAAUUUUUAUUUUUUUCGUGAAGGGACUUAGUGCCACUGAACUGUACACCUAAAAAUAAAUAAAAAAUUUAAAUUUAUUUAAAAUUUUUAAUUUAAAAUAAUUCAUAUUUAUUUUAAAUUUAUGUAAUAUAAAAUUUGUUAGUAAAUAAGUUUUUAGGUGUACAGUUCAGUGGCAUUGAGUACAUUCACACUGUUGUACAACCAUCACCAUUAUCCAUCUCUGGAACUUUUUAAUCAUCUCAAACUGAAAUUCUGUACCCAUUAAACAGUAACCACUUUUUACUGGUUUUUCUGGGGUCCUCUUGCAAGAAAAAUCCUUUCCAUAGGAUGAUAAAAGGCAAGGGUUGGCAAACAGGCAGCAGGCGGCUAGAUUUGGCCCACAGGCUGUGAUGUGCCAACCCCUAACAUAAAAAGAGAAAUAUCGGCAGGCGCGGUGGCUCACGCCUGUAAUCCCAACACUUUGGGAGGCUGAGACAGGUGUUAUCACCUGAGGUCAGGAGUUCGAGACCAGCCUGGCCAAUAUGGCAAAACCUCGUCUCUACUAAAGAUACAAAAAUUAACCAGGUGUGCUACUCAGGAGAAUCACUUGAACCUGGGAGGCGGAGACUGCAGUUAGCCAAGAUCGUGCCACCACACUCCAGCCUGGGCAACAGAGUGAGAGUCCAUCUCAACAACAACAAAAAAGAGGAGUAUCAACCCCAGUGACUGUUCCCAAGCACGUGGAAAAUGUCCCACUACCUGCCCAUGGAAAAAUAGUUGCUAUCCAGGCAACAGCCAUGUUAAACUGAGUUUAUUAUGUGACUCUUCAGAGAGAACAUCACCUUUGUAGCUUUCAGCCAUGGUUCCAGAAAGUGGGUGAAUACAGAAAAUCCAGGGAACACGGCCUGAGAGGUGCUCUCAGCCAUACACACCCCUUGUACCUCAGGGGAGGGACACUUGAAUGGUGAGGCCCCAGACCUGCCCCAAGCUUUCAAGGAACAUUCAAUGUGUCCGCCUCUCUGUGAAGAGGCGUACAGCGGAAACAUCUGUGUGGCUCAGAACCUUGAGAAAGAAUGUGGGCAGGCCAAUGAGCCAUCAGUCAUGCAUGGAAAUGUCAGGGUCCCGCCCUGGAGAUCCAGCCCAUGGCUCCCGGAGAUCUGCCCGCAGCAGCUGACACGGCAUUGCCCCAGGGGAGUAGAGCUUGGCCUCUAUCUAAUCUGAACACAUUAGAUCUCAGGCACCUAUUUCCUCCAGACCAGAUCAGAAAGAGCCACCAGCACAAAAGCAUCUCCCAGAGCCAACACAGGGACCUCCAAGUCCCAGUAUGUCUGGAAUUGGUUCCUUCCGGUGGGUUCUUGGUCUCGCUGGAGCCACAGACCUUCGGCUGCGGUGAGUGUUACAAUUCUUAAAAGAUGGCGUGUCCGGAGUUUGUUCCGUCAGAUGUUCAGAUGUGUCCGGAGUUUCUUCCUUCUGGUGGGUUCAUGGUCUUGCUGACUUCAGGAGUGAAGCCGCAGACCUUUGCAGUGAGUGUUACAGCUCUUAAAAGUGGCACCGUCCGGAGUUGUUCAUUCCUCCCGGACGGUUCGUGGUCUCGCUGACUUCAGGAGUGAAGCCACAGACCUUCACAGUGAGUGUUACAGCUCUUUGUUUUUUGAGACGGAGUCUCCCUCUCACCCAGGCCGGAGUGCAGUGGCGCGAUCUCGGCUCACUGCAAGCUCCACCUCCCAGGUUCAUGCAAUUCUCCUGCCUCAGCCUCCCGAGUAGCUGGGACUACAGGCGCCCGCCACUGCACCCGACUAAUUUUUUCUUUUUUUUGUACUUUUAGUAGAGAUAGGGUUUCACCGUGUUAGCCAGGAUGGUCAUGAUCUCCUGACCUGGUGAUCCGCCCACCUCGGCCUCCCAAAGUGCCGGGAUUACAGGCGUGAGCCACAGCGCCCGGCCAUGUUACAGCUCUUAAAGGUGGCACGUCCGACGUGCCACCUUUUUCGCAGGGAGUGUUACAGCUCUUAAAGGUGGCGCACCCAGAGUUGUUCGUUCCUCCUCGUGGGUUCAUGGUCUACGCCGACUUCAGGAGUGAAGCCGCAGACCUUUGCAGUGAGUGUUACAGCUCUUAAAGGUGGCACGUCCGGAGUUGUUCGUUCCUCCCGGACGGUUCGUGGUCUCGCUGACUUCAGGAGUGAAGCCACGACCUUCACAGUGAGUGUUACAGCUCUUUUUUUGUUUGUUUGUUUUUUGAGACGGAGUCUCGCUCUCACCUAGGCCGGAGUGCCGUCAAGCUCCCCCUCCCAGGUUCAUGCAAUUCUCCUGCCUCAGCCUCCCGAGUAGCUGGGACUACAGGCGCCCGCCACUGCGCCCGGCUAAUUUUUUCUUUUUUUUGUACUUUUAGUAGAGAUGGGGUUUCACCGUGUUAGCCAGGAUGGUUAUGAUCUCCUGACCUGGUGAUCCACCCAUCUCGGCCUCCCAAAGUGCCAGGAUUACAGGCGUGAGCCACCGCGCCCAGCCGUGUUACAGCUCUUAAAGGUGGCGCACCCAGAGUUGUUCGUUCCUCCUCGUGGGUUCAUGGUCUACACUGACUUCAGGAAUGAAGCCUCAGACCUUCGCAGUGAGUGUUACAGCUCUUAAAGGUGGUGCGCGCGGCGUUCUUCAUUCUUCGCAGCGAGUGUUACAGCUCUUAAAGAUGGCAAGUGUUACAGCUCUUAAAGAUGGCAAGUGUUACAGCUCUUAAAGAUGGCAAGUGUUACAGCUCUUAAAGAUGGCAAGUGUUACAGCUCUUAAAGGUAGCCCGUCGGGAGUUGUUCAUUCCUCCCACUGGGUUCGUGGUCUCACUGACUUCAGCAGUGAAGCCACAGACCUUCACGGUGAGUGUUACAGCUCUUAAAGGUUGCACAUCCACAAUUGUUCCUUUCUCCCGGCGGGUGGCUUCGUGGUCUCACUGACUUCAGGAGUGAAACUGCACAUCUUUGCAGUAAGUGUUACAGCUCAUAAACGUCGCGUGGACCCAAAGAGCGAGCAGCAGCAAGCGAACGAAGAAAACCUCCAUGGCGUGGAAGGGUUCCGGAGUGGGUUAUCCGGGCUGGCUCCAGCAGCCAGCUUUUAUUCCCUUAUUUGGCCCCGCCCACAUCCUGCUGAUUGGUCCAUUUAACAGAGUGCGGAGUGGUGUGUUUUUACAGAGUGCUGAUUGGUGCGUUUAGCUAGACACAGCGCUGCUUUAGCUAGACACAGUGCUGCUUUAGCUAGACACAGCGCUGCUUGGUGCUAUUUUUACAGAGUGCUGAUUGGAGCAUUUACAAUCCUUUAGCUAGACACAGAGCACUGACUGAUGCAUUUACAAUCCUCUAGGCUAGACAGAAAAGUUCUCCAAGUCCCCACUGGACCCAGAAAGUCAAGCUGGCUUCACCUCUCACCAGCAAGCCUGAACUGGUGGCAUGUGGGGGACAACAGCAAAAAUUUGCAGGCUCAGGCAAGCCACCUAGCCCUAAAUGCCAGGUCCAGCUCUCACUAGUGGUGUAACCCUCAGAAGGCUCCCUGAGCUCUCUAGGACUAAGUUUUACAUCAACAAAAGUAGGUGCUAUUACCUCUACUCAAAGAUUUGUUAUUAGAAAAGAAAUUCUGGCCAGGUAUGGUGAUUCAUGCCUGUAAUUUCAGCACUUUAGGAGGCAGAGGUAGGAGGACUACUUGAAGUCAGGAGUUUGAGAUCACCCUGGUCAACACUGCAAUAUUCUGUUUCUACAAACUUUUUUUUAACAAAGAAGUGCCUAGUCUGUGCUAGUGCCUUUUUACACAGUACUGAGAAUGUACCCGAGAACACAUUAUUCUCUUUCCUCCCUGAAAGCCACCAGGCAAAUGGCCACAGGACUUGGUAUACUCUUCAAUCAGCCAGCCCCUCAAUAGGACCUUUUCUGACAAAGGUGUUCUCUAAAAAUCCCUGUUCUCCUACCCCUAUGUGGCAAGGCCCAUCUUAGGUGAAAGGUGUCAGGCCUCUGAGCCCAAGCUAAGCCAUCAUAUCCCCUGUGACCUGCAUGUACACAUCCAGAUGGCCGGUUCCUGCCUUAACUGAUGACAUUCCACCACAAAAGAAGUGAAAAUGGCCUGUUCCUGCCUUAACUGAUGACAUUGUCUUGUGAAAUUCCUUCUCCUGGCUCAUCCUGGCUCAAAAGCUCCCCUACUGAGCACCUUGUGACCCCCACUCUGCCCACCAGAGAACAACCCCCCCUUUGACUGUAAUUUUCCUUUACCUACCCAAAUCCUAUAAAACGGCCCCACCCCUAUCUCCCUUCGCUGACUCUCUUUUCGGACUCAGCCCGCCUGCACCCAGGUGAAAUAAACAGCCAUGUUGCUCACACAAAGCCUGUUUGGUGGUCUCUUCACACGGACGCACAUGAAAUUUGGUGCCGUGACUCAGAUCGGGGGACCUCCCUUGGGAGAUCAAUCCCCUGUCCUCCUGCUCUUUGCGAAAGAUCCACCUACGACCUCAGGUCCUCGGACCGACCAGCCCAAGAAACAUCUCACCAAUUUCAAAUCCGAGAUAAAGGAGACACGUUUUAUCCACGGACUCAAAACUCCGGCGCCGGUCACAGACUAGGGAAGGCAGCCUUCCCUUGGUGUUUAAUCAUUGCAGGGACACCUCUGAUUAUUCUACCGGGUUUCAGAGGUGUCAGACCACGCAGGGAUGCCUGCCUUGGUCCUUCACCCUUAGCGGCAAGUCCUGCUUUUCUGGGGAAGGGGCAAGUACCCUAAUCCCUUCUCUCCGUGUCUCUAUCCCUUCUCCGCCUUUCUGGGGGGCAAGAAACCCCCAACCCCUUCUCCUUCACACUUAGCGGCAAGUCCCACUUUUCUAGAGGAGGGGCAUGUACCCCAACCUCUUAUAUCUCUGUGCCCCAAUCCCUUAUUUCUGUGCCCCGACCUCUUAUCUCUGCACCCCAAUCCCUUAUUUCUGUGCCCUGACCUAUCUCUGCACCCCAAUCCCUUAUUUCUGUGCCCUGACCUCUUAUCUCUGCACCCCAAUCCCUUAUUUCUGUGCCCUGACCUCUUAUCUCUGCACCCCAAUCCCUUAUUUCUGUGCCCUGACCUCUUAUCUCUGCACCCCAUCCCUUAUUUCCGUGCCCCGACCUCUUAUCUCUGCAACCCGACCUCUUAUCUCUGCAUCCCAACCCCUUAUUUCCACGCCCCAACCCCUUUCCCGCUUUUCUGGAAGGUAAGAACCCCUGAACCCCUUCCCUCCGUGUCUCUACUCUCUUUUCUCUAGGCUUGCUUCCUUCACUAUGGGCAACCUUCCACCCUCCAUUCCUCCUUCUUCUCCCUUAGCCUGUGUCCUCAAAAAACUUAAAACCUCUUCAAUUCUCACCUGACCUAAAAUCUAAGCAUCUUAUUUUCUUCUGCAGUGCUGCUUGACCCCAAUACAAACUCGACAGUAGUUCCAAAUAGCCGGAAAAUGGCACUUUCAAUUUUUCCAUCCUACAAGAUCUAAAUAAUUCUUGUCGUACAAUGGGCAAAUGGUCUGAGGUGCCUGACAUCCAGGCAUUCUUUUACACAUCGGUCCCUCUCUAGUCUCUGUUCCCAAUGCAACUCGUCCCAAAUCUUCCUCCUUUCCCUCCCGCCUGUCCCCUCAGUCCCAACCCCAAGCGUCGCUGAGUCUUUCUAAUCUUCCUUUUCUACAGACUCAUCUGACCUCUCCCCUCCUCCCCAGGCUGCUCCUCGCCAGGCCGAGCUAGGUCCCAAUUCUUUCUCAGCCUCCGCUCCUCCACCCUAUAAUCCUUUUAUCACCUCCCCUCCUCACACACAGUCUGGCUUACAGUUUCGUUCCGUGACUAGCCCUCCCCACCUGCCCAGCAAUUUACUCUUAAAAAGGUGGCUGGAGCUAAAGGCAUAGUCAAGGUUAAUGCUCCUUUUUCUUUAUCCCAAAUCGGAUAGCGUUUAGGCUCUUUUUCAUCAAAUAUAAAAAUCCAGCCCAGUUCAUGGCUCGUUUGGCAGCAACCCUGAGACGCUUUACAGCCCUAGACCCUAAAAGUUCAAAAGGCCGUCUUAUUCUCAAAAUACACUUUAUUACCCAAUCUGCUCCCGACAUUAAAGAAAACUCCAAAAAUUAAAUUCCAGCCCUCAAACCCCACAACAGGAUUUAAUUAACCUCGCCUUCAAGGUGUACAAUAAUAGAGAAAAGUUGCAAUUCCUUGCCUCCACUGUGAGACAAACCCCAGCCACAUCUCCAGCACACAAGAACUUCCAAACGCCUGAACCGCAGCAGCCAGGCGUUCCUCCAGAACCUCCUCCCCCAGGAGCUUGCUACAAGUGCCAGAAAUCUGGCCACCAGGCCAAGGAAUGCCUGCAGCCCAGGAUUCCUCCUAAGCUGAGUCCCAUCUGUGCGGGACCCCACUGGAAAUCGGACUGUCUAACUCACCUGGCAGCCACUCCCAGCGCCCCUGGAAUUCUGGCCCAAGGCUCUCUGACUGCUUCCCACAUCUUCUUGGCUUAGCGGCUGAAGACUGAUGCUGCCCGAUCGCCUCGGAAGCCCCCUACAAGACCAUCACGGAUGCCGAGCUUCGCGUAACUCUCACAGUGGAGGGUACACAUCCAGAUGGCCGGUUCCUGCCUUAACUGAUGACAUUCUACCACAAAAGAAGUGAAAAUGGCCUGUUCCUGCCUUAACUGAUGACAUUGCCUUGUGAAAUUCCUUCUCCUAGCUCAUCCUGGCUCAAAAGCUCCCCUACUGAGCACCUUGUGACCCCUACUCUGCCCGCCAGAGAACAAACCAACCCCUCUUUGACUGUAAUUUUCCUUUACCUACCCAAAUCCUAUAAAACGGCCCCACCCCUAUCUCCCUUCGCUGACUCUCUUUUCGGACUCAGCCCGCCUGCACCCAGGUGAAAUAAACAGCCAUGUUGCUCAAACAAA
rnacentral:lncRNA from 1 species